UACGGGGGGGGCAAGCGUUGUUCGGAAUUACUGGGCGUAAAGGGCUCGUAGGCGGCCAACUAAGUCAGACGUGAAAUCCCUCGGCUUAACCGGGGAACGGCGUCUGAUACUGGAUGGCUUGAAUCCGGGAGAGGGAUGCGGAAUUCCAGGUGUAGCGGUGAAAUGCGUAGAUAUCUGGAGGAACACCGGUGGCGAAGGCGGCAUCCUGGACCGGCAUUGACGCUGAGGCGCGAAAGCCAGGGGAGCAAACGGG
rnacentral:rRNA from 1 species